AUUGAACGCUGGCGGCAUGCUUUACACAUGCAAGUCGGACGAGUGGCGAACGGGUGAGUAACGCAUCGGAACGUACCGAGUAAUGGGGGAUAACUGUCCGAAAGGACAGCUACUACCGCAUAUUAUUCCCGCGGCCGAUGUCUGAUUAGCUGGUGGGCGGGGUAAAGGCCCACCAAGGCGACGAUCAGUAGCGGGUCUGAGAGGAUGAUCGGAACCACUGGAACGUAGACACGGACCAGACUCCGGCGGGAGGCAGCAGUGGGGAAUGUUGGACAAGGGGAGCAAGCCUGAUCCACCCAUGCCGCGUGUCUGAAGAAGGCCUUCGGGUUGUAAAGGACUUUUGUCAGGGAAGCGGUACCUGAAGAAUAAGCACCGGCUAACUACGUGCCAGCAGCCGCGGUAAUAC
rnacentral:rRNA from 1 species